AUAAGUUAUAUAACUGCAGCACCUAUUAUUGCUACUGAUAUCAUUGGCUCAUUGCUGCCUUUGUGCAAUGCAGAACUGUUAAGAGUGAUUUGGAGGAUUCAAGAUUCUGUGAAGCUCUUUUGACAUUUAAAGCUCAGAACUGAAGGUUCAAUAUGACGCAAAAUAGGGCUAAGUGGACAGCAAGGUAUGAGAAAGGUCUCGUGGAGGUACUUACAGAGUACAAUCUAUCUCAUUACCGUGGCCAAAAUGGGUGGACUACCGAAGGAUGGAAUCAAGUUGUCAAGGAACUGAACAAUUUAUAUCCAUAGGCAAGGUUUACCAAGGAUCAGGUUCAAGAUAAGGAAGCUCAGUUGAAAAAGCACUACAAAAAUAUCAAGUUGAUAGUCAACCGCUCUGGAAUAUCAUGGAAUGAUAUUGCAUGUGUGAUCAACACCACGCCUGAAAAAUGGGAAGAGAUCAUUGCAGAGGACCCAAAGCUCAAAAUGUAUGAAGGAAAGAGCUUUCCAUUGUACGAGGCAUUGGGUGUGCUCUAUGAAGGACACAUUGCGCAAGGAAGACACUGCCUCACAUCAAGGAAGCCUCCGAUUGGCACAAAAACAGGUAGCAACUUUGGAGCGAAGGAUAAGAUGGUUGCAAGCACUAGCAAGAAAAAUACAAGACAUGGAA